CCUACGGGUGGCUGCAGUGAGGAAUAUUGGUCAAUGGGCGGGAGCCUGAACCAGCCAAGUCGCGUGAGGGACGACGGUCCUAUGGAUUGUAAACCUCUUUUGUCGGGGAACAAAGGCGCCCACGGGUGGGCGGAUGAGUGUACCCGAAGAAUAAGCCACGGCUAACUACGUGCCAGCAGCCGCGGUAAUACGUAGGUGGCAAGCGUUGUCCGGAUUUACUGGGUGUAAAGGGCGUGUAGCCGGGCUGACAAGUCAGAUGUGAAAUUCCGGGGCUCAACCCCGGACCUGCAUUUGAAACUGUUGGUCUUGAGUAUCGGAGAGGCAGGCGGAAUUCCUAGUGUAGCGGUGAAAUGCGUAGAUAUUAGGAGGAACACCAGUGGCGAAGGCGGCCUGCUGGACGACAACUGACGGUGAGGCGCGAAAGCGUGGGGAGCAAACAGGAUUAGAUACCCGAGUAGUC
rnacentral:rRNA from 1 species